rnacentral:rRNA from 1 species
AGAGCGAACGCUGGCGGCAGGCCUAAUACAUGCAAGUCGAGCGCACCUUCGGGUGAGCGGCGGACGGGUGAGUAACGCGUGGGAACGUGCCCUUUGGUUCGGAACAACACAGGGAAACUUGUGCUAAUACCGAAUGUGCCCUUCGGGGGAAAGAUUUAUCGCCAUUGGAGCGGCCCGCGUUGGAUUAGGUAGUUGGUGGGGUAAAAGCCUACCAAGCCUACGAUCCAUAGCUGGUCUGAGAGGAUGAUCAGCCACACUGGGACUGAGACACGGCCCAGACUCCUACGGGAGGCAGCAGUAGGGAAUCUUGCGCAAUGGGCGAAAGCCUGACGCAGCCAUGCCGCGUGAAUGAUGAAGGUCUUAGGAUUGUAAAAUUCUUUCACCGGGGAAGAUAAUGACGGUACCCGGAGAAGAAGCCCCGGCUAACUUCGCGCCAGCAGCCGC